rnacentral:rRNA from 1 species
UACAGAGGAGCCAAGCGUUGUCCGGAUUGACUGGGCGUAAAGCGCACGCAGGCGGACGCGCGCGUGGGGUGUGAAAUCUGGCCGCUUAACGGCCAGGCGCCAUCCCAUACGGCGCGUCUGGGGCCUUGCAGAGGUCGGUGGAAUUGCCGGUGUAGUGGUGAAAUGCGUAGAGAUCGGCAGGAACACCCAGGGGGAAACCAGCCGACUGGGCAAGCGCUGACGCUGAGGUGCGAGAGCGUGGGGAGCGAACCGG